ACUGAUCCGUAAAACGCUUGGGAUGUUUCGGAAGACAUCUCGCUGCCUUUCGAGUCGAGCUUGUUGCGAGAGGAAAACCCAGCAGCCGGGGGACGUGCACGAGUUGCGUUUUUGCUAUGAGCGCUGCGCGAUCGUCAUCGACGAGCAUGGUGAGUCCGGCAGCGCCGGCGGACCCCUGUGCUAGGCUCAGGGAGGAGGCGCUGCGCUGCUUCGGGGAAGCCAAGCGCCAGCCUGGGGCACACGAUACCUGUCGCGAAAAGAAAGAGUGCUAUCGACGCUGUCGUGACCUUUGGCUGGCCGAAAUACGCAAGGCACGACGUGGAGAGCGACUUCCGAACCCGGCGGUGACGGGCCAAACGCCGGACACCAGCUAAACCUCGCUCUGGGUGGUAAUCGUCCGCAACCUGUGCGGCCGACUGGGAUGAUUUCCACGUUGAAAGCACCUUUGGACUUUGUUGGCUUUUUGGGGAGUCUUCGCAGAUCAGAGCUGUUGUCGUCGAGGUUACCCGCGGCCGCCUGCUCGCUGGUCGGCACUCGAGUCUGGGGCAGCCUGGUGCAGGCGACGUGCUGCGUUCGCUACAAGCAGCGCGUUCUGCGGUAUCCGGAACUUUGUUAUUCCAAGACCUCUUUUGGAGCGCAAGGCGCCACAAGCGGUAACGAGCAUCCAGUAGCAAGCAAGCAAGCUGGCAGAGACGCGCCCCCGAUAAAGUGCACGUGUGCAAGUAUGCCUGCAGCGCUGCCGUCGACAACGGACUUGUCUCUGUGCAGCCAGUGCAUGAUACCGAUAUGCGUCCGUUCACGCUUCGUCUGCAUCAGGCCAGCAACUGGUCUGAUGAUAUUCUCCAGGCAGCGAUUGAGAUGAACCUGUCGUGGGGCUGUCUGUUUAUGGAAGCGCGCCAUGUAGGUAUACCUUGUCAAGAGUUGGUCGUGGGAACAAGGACGCCUCUCCAUUCCGUCGUUUUGCGUCUCGUGUAGUACUCGAAUCCGAUAUCCACCGGUGCAUCCAAGGCGCUACGUUCAAUGCCGUGGAGCGUGACCUCGAGACACUGCCGGGUUCCCGCUUCGUGCGUGCCCUUCCUGAGACUGUUUCGCACCGCGUUUCAACAUGUAUUCGGAAAGGACGCGUCUUUAGCGCUGCUCCUCGGUUCCAUCCAUCACAGUCUGGUCGUGAACAGACGCGUCGAACGUGCGCAGCAGAAACGGGAACCCCGAAAACGUCUCGUUACGAGGCCGUCUCCGCUGGCCCACAGGCCGUAUGAUCGCGCAUUGCACUACGACCAAGUCAAGCUAAAAGCAUGUCGUUUACCAUUCGAGGUCUGUGCGACCGCGCGCUCCAACACGUUAGGUUUUUUAGAGAACAUCACUUCCACCACGGAUUCUCACCAGUUCGAAAGUCGGUCUCCUUCCAGGGUUUGAUCUCUACGAACCCGUCAUCAUCCACUUCGGUAUGUGCCAGAGCGAGCGACAGCGGAGCCGGACCGCGCACCACCUUCCCUGUACGAUCGUACUGCGAACCAUGGCACGGGCAAAUGAACUUGUUCUGUGCUGCGUUCCAAGGCACCACGCAGCCAAGGUGCGUGCAAACAGCAUUCAGUGCGUAGGUUUCGAGCUCGCCGGCGUCGUUCACAACAAGAUACGUGGGCUCCCCGUUUAGGCCCUGCACAAGGUCACGAGAGCCGGGGGGAUGCGUCUUCAGAUAAUCCUCCUUCUUGAUAGGCGUCCCGAGGGCGUCCUUUGCAAUCACACCGCCUGAGCCUUUGUUCUUCAGUGGCGGCACGAAGAAGCUGGCGUACGUGCCAAGCAUGAUGCUUGCUGGGAGUCCAACUGAACCCACUAGAAUGAGGUUCAGCAGCGUGCGCUUCCCCAUAUCUGGGAUGUAGUCGUCAUCGGAUCCCGAGGAGCCGCCACCGCUGCCGCUCCCUCCACGCGCGUCAUCAACUGUACUCGGCCGCGCAAACGUCAUGCGCAGCGCCACGCGCUUCCUGCCCAGCGUUGUAGGCUGGCGUUCGACUGCACCAGGAUGACACCGAGACACCGUUCUAAACGUAAUGC
rnacentral:misc_RNA from 1 species